rnacentral:rRNA from 1 species
UACGUAGGGUGCGAGCGUUGUCCGGAAUUACUAGGCGUAAAGAGUUCGUAGGCGGUUUGUCGCGUCGUUCGUGAAAACUUGGGGCUUAACUCCAAGCGUGCGGGCGAUACGGGCAGACUUGAGUACUACAGGGGAGACUGGAAUUCCUGGUGUAGCGGUGAAAUGCGCAGAUAUCAGGAGGAACACCUGCGGCGAAGGCGGGUUGCUGGGCUGACACUGACGCUGAUGCGCGAAAGCCAGGGGAGCGAACGGG